rnacentral:precursor_RNA from 1 species
ACUCUUUAUUUGCCACUUUAGUGUUACACAAUAUUACUAAAAUGGCAAACAAAGACUGA